rnacentral:lncRNA from 1 species
CACAGGAACAGGCUUUGUCUGAAAAACAACCCCCGGCAGGUGCAGACUCGGUUGGAAAAAGCCAAGGCUGCUGAUGCCUGUCCUGCAUCUCCCUACCAGCCAUCCAAGGUUUGUCCCGCAGCCGCAGAGGAUCAGACAGAUCAGUGUUUGGGAGCAGGGGCUUUGCUGCCACAGAGAUCUCCACGCUCCAGUCCUUGGUCUGCAGCCUGGGAGAGAGCCAAAGCAGUGCUUUGGUGUGUUGCUCCAGCAGCUGGUCAGAGCAGGAGAAUGCCAGCCUUCCAGAGAGAACAGGGAGUGGGGCUGAAAAAAAGGGAGGAAGAGGAG